rnacentral:rRNA from 1 species
GAUGAACGUUGGCGGUGUGCCUAAUACAUGCAAGUCGAACGGAGUUAAUAGCAAUAUUGGCUCAGUGGCGAACGGGUGAGUAACACGUGGGUAACCUGCCCAUAAGAGGGGGAUAACAUCCGGAAACGGGUGCUAAUACCGCAUAGGUUUCUUGGUCGCAUGAUCGAGAAAGGAAAGACGGCCUUUGUGCUGUCGCUUAUGGAUGGACCCGCGGCGUAUUAGGUUAGUUGGUGAGGUAAUGGCUCACCAAGACGAUGAUACGUAGCCGACCUGAGAGGGU